rnacentral:lncRNA from 1 species
GAGGGUCUACACGGCUUCAUUUAACCCAGAAGUCUACACCAGAAUGGUUCUACUGCUUCAGAUUUACACCAGAGAGUCUACACCAGAGAGAGGUCUACUGCUUCAGAUUUACACCAGAGAAUCUACACCAGAGAGUCUACACCAGAGAGUCUACACCAGAGAUGGGUCUACUGCUUCAGUUUACAAAACAGAGAGUCCUACACCAGAGAGUUUACACCAGAGAGUUUACACCAGAGAGUCUACACCAGAGAGGGGUCUACAUCAGAGAGUCUACACCAGAGAGGGGUCCUUCUGAUUCAGAUUUACACCAGAGAGUCUACACCAGAGAGUC